rnacentral:misc_RNA from 1 species
GAGGGAGGAGAGGAGUACCUUUUCAAGAUCGUGAUUAUUGGGGACUCUGCCGUCGGCAAAUCCAAUCUCCUGUCACGGUAUGCGCGGAACGAGUUCAAUUUGCACUCCAAGGCCACCAUAGGUGUGGAAUUCCAGACCCAGAGCAUGGAAAUCGAUGGCAAGGAAGUCAAGGCUCAGAUUUGGGACACCGCCGGUCAAGAGAGGUUCCGUGCUGUAACUUCUGCUUACUAUAGAGGUGCUGUUGGUGCUCUCAUUGUGUACGAUAUUAGCCGCCGCACUACUUUUGAUAGCGUUGGUCGUUGGCUUGAGGAGCUCAAGACUCAUU